GAACCCCACAAGAAAGAAAAGCCAUUAGAAACAGCCAAAUUACCAAGGAAGGAUAUCCAUGUAAAAGAAUCUGGUAAGAUCUGGAUCAAAAGAGAUCUAGCAAUUUUCACUUCCUAUCAGUUAAUACAAAAUUAUUGUGAUGAGUUGCCUUGAAAAAUAUGAGAAAAAAAA